CCUACGGGCGGCAGCAGUGAGGAAUAUUGGUCAAUGGACGAGAGUCUGAACCAGCCAAGUAGCGUGAAGGAUGACUGCCCUAUGGGUUGUAAACUUCUUUUAUAUGGGAAUAAACUGUUCCACGUGUGGGAUUUUGUAUGUACCAUAUGAAUAAGGAUCGGCUAACUCCGUGCCAGCAGCCGCGGUAAUACGGAGGAUCCGAGCGUUAUCCGGAUUUAUUGGGUUUAAAGGGAGCGUAGGUGGAUUUGUAAGUCCGUUGUGAAAGUUUGCGGCUCAACCGUAAAAUUGCAGUUGAAACUGGCAGUCUUGAGUACAGUAGAGGUGGGCGGAAUUCGUGGUGUAGCGGUGAAAUGCUUAGAUAUCACGAAGAACUCCGAUUGCGAAGGCAGUUCACUGGACUGCAACUGACACUGAGGCUCGAAAGUGUGGGUAUCAAACAGGAUUAGAUACCCGUGUAGUC
rnacentral:rRNA from 1 species